CCUACGGGAGGCAGCAGUGGGGAAUAUUGGACAAUGGGGGGAACCCUGAUCCAGCCAUGCCGCGUGUGUGAAGAAGGCCCUCGGGUUGUAAAGCACUUUCAGUGAGGAAGAACGCCUGGUGGUUAAUACCCAUCAGGAAAGACAUCACUCACAGAAGAAGCACCGGCUAACUCCGUGCCAGCAGCCGCGGUAAUACGGAGGGUGCGAGCGUUAAUCGGAAUUACUGGGCGUAAAGCGCGCGUAGGUGGCUUGAUAAGCCGGUUGUGAAAGCCCCGGGCUCAACCUGGGAACGGCAUCCGGAACUGUCAAGCUAGAGGGCAGGAGAGGAAGGUAGAAUUCCCGGUGUAGCGGUGAAAUGCGUAGAGAUCGGGAGGAAUACCAGUGGCGAAGGCGGCCUUCUGGACUGACACUGACACUGAGGUGCGAAAGCGUGGGUAGCAAACAGGAUUAGAUACCCCGGUAGUC
rnacentral:rRNA from 1 species